rnacentral:lncRNA from 1 species
CAUCAGAGGAAGAGUUCUACAGUGAAGCUGAUGGUGUGGAGGAUUAGGUGUAGCCCUGGUCAAGCUGCCUGUGGAGUGGAGUCGUCCGCGCCGUUUAUCUUUUUCCGCUGCUUAGAUCUUUAUUGAUUGAGAGGAACUAUCUACCUCUGUAAUGAUAUUUUAUACGCUUAAUAAUUAGAGUAAUAACUGUACUCUAUUAUCAAUUUGUUAUUGUGUGCCUCGGCUGAUUCCUGGACGAGGGUUUACACACAUGUAAGCGUUUGGAAUUUUGGAUAGAAAUUCCGGGCGUGACACAACACAACGACCACAGCCUACGAAGCCGGAGCCUACAGGAGCCAAGUCGCCGGGUGAUCUAGUCGAAUCAACUCGACUACGAUCUCGCUGGUAUCAUCCAGUUCUAUUAUUCCCUUUGUAAUUUGUGGUCAUCUCCAUAUAAUCCUAUAUCAACUGGAUUAGGGCUAUUACCUAUUUAGGGGCCUGAACCAGUAUAAUCUUUGUCUCUUGUUUCCUUCAUGUCGUACUACGUUGAUCAUCGUACCAGUGUACCCCAAUACCCUCUAUAUCCGGUCUAUGGGUACCCAUCGUCGACAGUGGCGCGCCACGUAGGGAGCUUUGGUGCUCAAGGUUCUACUACUAUGACAUCAAGCUUCGUCGACAACGGCGUCAGCACCGGCCCCAUUCAUGGAGUCCCUACUUGAACAAUGCUGGUGUGGACUCAAGUUGGCGAAAUCAUCUUCCCGGUUUACACCACGGUGCCAAUCUCGGCUGGUCCAUCAAUUAUCGGAAACGAGAACGCCGUGGCUAUAACCCCGGACGAUCCCGCGUCUAAGGAUCCUCCCGCCGUAGCAGAGAAUGGAACAUCGACGUCAUACGAGCCCGAGAAGGUUCCUAGUGUGGCCGAACCUUGUCCUUCCGACAAGAACUCCGAGCCGACAAGGACAACUUCUGAGGUAAAAAAGUCCUGGUAUCCUAUCCACAAGUCCAGGAAGCACAACUUGCAAGCUUGCUGGGUUUUUCUCAACGUACAAGCUAAAAUUCGUGCUUGCAAAGAGCGUGGAAUCCAGCGUACUUCUCCAACUCAUGAUGUCUAUUGUCCUAUUCACAAGACGAAGAAUCACGACUUCUCAAGCUACAAGGUCUUUCUCCACGCCAUGAAAACGACGCUUCCUAAGGUCCAGCAGGUAGGAACCUCUCGUAAGGGCACAAACAAGGAACAAGGAGCGACGUUGACCUCGGAUCGAUUUGUUGGAGUAAUCGACAUUGAUCCCCACGAGCCAUCAGUCCUACACUUGCUCGAAGACUAUGGCUCAUCAUCUUCCAGUACACCACGCGACAUGUUUGCCAUCGGUGGGACUAGCACGUCUGCACACGCUAACGCAGGGGCGGAGAACCAGACGGUCACGCCGGCCCAACAUCUCGGCACCAUCAAUGCAGUACUGAGAGAAGCUCCCUAUGACCCCGUUCUUAACGAUGAUCUCGCACGAUGGAUAGAACGACUAUGGGAAUCGGUAGCCAAUCUCAGUAACGCGUUCGAGGAAGCCGCUACCAGAGCACAACAAGAGCGACUGAUAGCUGGCGCUGCCAACGGCGAACCACCGGAGCAGCGGACGUCACCUAGAUGAGCUACCCAUCCACCUCGCAGCACCGGCGAUCUCCGCGACCAUCUGAAUGGCCGCCGAGAAGCACGACGCACGCGAGACAAUGAGAAUCAUUCCCGACAUCGUGUUUCUUCACAACGUCGCGAGAACGAAGAGCGAGUGUCACACCCAGAAAUUCUCGAACCAGAAUUUCUAAGCUGAAUGUGCAUUAAAUCCCUGUCCAGGACCAGCCAGGGUACACAAACGACAUUUGUUGACAUACAGACCCACGUCUUACAAAAAUAUAAAAGAUUACAAAUGCAGCGAGAAAGAUAAAAGCGAGCUAAACCGGGAAGCUUGACUUCAGCAGCGGGCGACUCCACUCCACAAGCAAACCUUGACGGCAGCGACGAAACCAACCUCUCUGAGACGGCUCCAUCUGAGAAGAACUUCAACUCUGGUGUGGGGGAAAAGAGAGCAAGACUGAGUACUACCCACUGUACUCAGCAAGUCAUACCGGAAAAGGAGGUAUGAUGCAGGAUAUAACCAAAGGAAGCUAGGGGUUCUUUUGCAUAAAGCAGGCAUUUCAAAGCAGUAGUUGAAAGCAGUAAAAUAGCUGUAGUAAUUAAUCAAUAUUAACCAAUUACUGUCCAACGCUACACCACGUUGCAACAGGCCCAACCAACCACCUGAACUACACCAGCUCAUUACGCUAAACUAGGGGUGAGACUAAUCACGGUGAAUCUGGUUGAUCGCCCAUAACCGCGGGCACGGCUAUUCGAAUAGUUUUACUCUGGCCAGAGGUGUACAACUGUACCCACAAGACACGAUUCCACACAUGUCGCCAUGCCCCGAAGUAUCACCAUGAUACUGCAAAGGGGGAAAUCGUGACAAGAUCCUCCACCUAACCCUCCCCUAACCAUCCACACCACGCUAAGGUUUCACCCCCACCCCUCAAAAGGCAGUGGGCGGUCCCCUCUUGCGCCGCGGUGAAUCCGGCAGCUGGACAACUGAACACCUCGGCCGACCCAACUCCAUCACGCCCACCCUCGCCACCGGUGCCUAGGAAAGGGUCGAGCUAUACUUCAGAUCAAGCAGUUACCCACUCCCGCUUGUGGUAAGCACGGUAAGUCUCCCAGGGUUUCCCGUGAACUGGUCCUUAACUGCCAUGGGUGCGACCAGCAAAACCAUGCACUCACAGCCCGCCAUUCAGAAUAUUUUAAUUAACUGACACCCUUGCGGUGGCGCCAAUCUAAAGCUAUACCAAUAGUCAGAGUCUAUGUAAUAAUGUGAUCCCCAUUUGUGUACUAGUUGAACUAAGCAUGGCUAAGCAUUUCCUAAGCCAACAUCUAGUCAUUUUGAUACCCAAGUUAUCAAUGGCAUAAGGUAACCAAUAUGUGGCUGAGGAAUAGGACCCAUCCCACAUUACAUUGUAAAAGAAUGCAACAUUUAAUAGAAAUGCGGGAUAUUUGUAAAUUGGGUACAAUAUGAUCAAACGUAUUGCAUGACUUGCCUUGCUCUCGAACUGAUGAGACCUCAGCAACGUCUUCGAGAAACCGCGGAUCGACGAAACGGCCGAAACCUACGCGACAAACAAAGCACACAAGCAAAACAUGCUAUAAGACUACUGAAACAGGAAACAAAACCAUUUUUAGUGGAUUCUUUGCAUUUUUCUUGAUUUACUGAGACUUGAAUGGACUUAAACGGAGCUCGGAUGAAUUACUUAAGAAUUUUAGAAGAUAAACUGUGUUUUUACUAAUAAAGAAAAAGCCUUAAUCAUUUUAUUGCGCAAUAAAGCCCAGGGCUGACGUCAGCGAAAGGGGGGGUGCCGGCACGUGGGCCCCACGGGUCAGCGGCUCCAAAGGGAGGGAGGUGGUGCCUGGCAGGUGGGCCCCACCAGGUGGUGGCUCAAAGGGGAGGCGAGGGAGGCGCCGGCCAGGCUCAGCUCGGCCUCAAGGCCGACCGGCCGACCAAGGCGAGGCGGCGGCGAGGCACGGCCACCGACGGCGGUGACCGGCGACGACGACCCGACGAGAGGACGGGCGGACGAGCAGCACCGACACCUAGAGGAGGGGAGGAGAGGAGUUAGGGAUGGAGAAGGCGACCGCGACGACCAAAGUGGCUGGCCGGAGACGGAGGGGAAUGGAUAGCUCACCGGCUCGCGAGGGAGAUGGGGUUCCGGUGGGGUUCGGGCGACGCGAGGCGGUGGCCGAGAUGGCCCACACGGCGGCGGAGCUAGCGGCGGCGGUGGCUUGGCGCGGCGGCGGCGGCGGAGCUCGGCGAGCGCGGCGCGACGGCAGUAGAAGGCAUGGGAGAGGACGGUGAAUGGGGGAAAUGAGAGAGAGAGCUCGAGUGAGGGUUUUUAUGGGCGAGGGAGGGGCAGAAACGGCCGGGGAUGGCCCCUAUUUGGCCGGCGACGUGGAGAGGUGGAGGAGAGAGAGAGAGGGUGUUGGGGGAUUUCAAAUCCCCCACCACUUGCGGGCGCGCGCGCGCGGGAGAUGCGGGGGAGAGGGCGGCGACGUGGGUGCGAGGUGCGGGCGCGGAGUGGAGGCGCGACGUGGAGCGGAGAAGGCGGCGGCGUGGGCGGUUGGAGCUCCGGCUCCAACGACCGGAGGUAGGGGACGACCGACAGGUGGGCCCCACCUAUCGGCACCCGAAAGAGAAAGGGAGGGAGGGAGGACUUCGGGGAGGGGAAAGGAGGAGCGGGCCGGCCCAGGAAAGGGGUGCCGAGCGCGGGGAGAGAGAUGGGCCGACGGCCCAUCUAGUGAAAAAGGAAGGAAAAGAAAAAGAAAAAGAGGAGAAGGAUUUUCCUGGGAUUAAAUAUUGCACUUUGGUGAUUUUUAAUUGGUUAAAAUUAUUUCUAAGGCUCUGAAAAUUCCACUAAAAAUCUUGUUAAUGCAUUGGAGCAUGGGGAACUCAAGAAAAAUUCCACCACGCUAUUUCCGAUUAUUAAUUGCAUUUAUUAAUUAUGGAGUUAGCUCUAGGUUAAUUAAGAUAAUUUCUUCAGGCAAUUUAUUUAACCAAUUUUUAAAGCAAGAAAAAGGGGGAAACUUCUGGGCGUGACAAACCUACCCCCCUUAAACGGAAUCUCGACCCCGAGAUUCGGAAGAGCUGGCGAAGAGGUGCGGGUGGGCGGCCUUCAACUCAUCUUCUCUUUCCCAAGUGGCUUCUUCCUCUGAGUGGUGGCUCCACUGAACCUUGCAGAAUCUUAUUACUUUGUUUCUGGUCCUUCUCUCGCUGGUUUCGAGGAUACGAGUCGGCUUCUCCACAUAUGUCAGAUCUUCCUGAAUUUCGGUGUGAUCCGGACUUGCCUGUUCCUCAGGAACUCUCAAACAUUUCUUCAACUGAGAGACGUGGAACACGUUGUGGAUGCCAAGCAUGUUGGAGGGAAGCUCAAGCUGGUAAGCAACUUCACCUCUACGUUCCAAGAUCCUGUAUGGUCCCAUAAAGCGUGGUGCCAACUUUCCUUUGGUCUGGAAGCGAUGUACUCCCCUGAGCGGAGUGAUACGGAGAUACACAUAAUCCCCUGUUUCGAAAGCGAGCUCCCUUCGGCGGUUGUCUGCAUAGCUUUUCUGCCGAGAUUGCGCGAUUCUCAAUCUUUCCCUAAUAGCUCUGACGUUCUCUUCUGCCUCAUUUAAAACUUCUGUACCAAACAACUGGCGUUCCCCUGUCUGAUCCCAGAAGAGCGGAGUACGACACCUUCGUCCAUACAGUGCUUCAAACGGUGCCAUCUGUAGACUAGCUUGGUAACUGUUGUCGUAAGAGAACUCAGCAUACGGCAAGCUUUUGUCCCAUGCUCCACCAAAGUCAAGCGCACAGGCUCUCAACAUAUCCUCUAGUAUUUGAUUGACUCGCUCGGUCUGGCCAUCCGUUUGUGGAUGGUAAGCAGUGCCGAAAUUCAACCGGGUUCCCAAUUCUUCUUGUAAUUUCUGCCAGAACUUUGAAGUAAAUUGGUUUCCUCGAUCAGACACGAUCUUCUUAGGUACACCAUGUAAACACAUAAUUCUUGCCAGAUAGAGUUCUGCUAAUUUCUUCCCUGAGUAGGUAGUGUGCACCGGAAUGAAGUGAGCCACUUUGGUGAGUCGGUCAACGACUACCCAAACAGAAUCAUGCCCCGAUGACGUUCUGGGCAAACCGGUGAUGAAAUCCAUUCCGAUUUCUUCCCACUUCCAUUCUGGAAUCUGAAGUGGCUGUAGCAAACCUGCUGGCCUUUGGUGUUCUGCCUUUACUCGUUGACAGACGUCAUAGAGUGCUACGAAUUCAGCUAUUUCCCUUCUCAUGCUGACCCACCAAAACUUCUCUUUGAGGUCUUGGUACAUCUUUGUACUACCGGGAUGAAUGAAAUAUUGAGUUUGAUGAGCCUCGGUUAGUAUCAGGUCUUUUAAUUCCUUGUUUUCGGGUACACACAAUCUUUCUCCCAUCCAGAUUGUUCCUUGUUCAUCCUCAACAGAACCUCGGGCUUUUCCAACUCUCAUGUUCUUUUUGAGCUCUGCUAUUUCAGGAUCACUUGCUUGAGCUAUGCGAACCUGCUCCACCAGUGUGGGCUGUGCCUCUAGGGCAACCACGAAUCCGUGCUCAACUAUACCAAGGUUCAGAUGUUCCAAAUCGCGUUGAACCUCACAACAUAGUUGCUCUACCCAUGCAACAUUGCAGUAGCUCUUCCUGCUCAAGGCAUCUGCAACCACAUUAGCCUUGCCGGGAUGAUAAUGUAUUCCCAUAUCAUAAUCCUUGAUCAGCUCCAACCAUCUUCGCUGUCUGAGAUUCAAAUCAGGUUGAGUGAAGAUGUACUUUAGACUUUUGUGAUCUGUAUAUACCUCACAACGGUUACCGAUGAGAUAGUGCCGCCAAAUCUUUAAAGCAUGAACAACUGCGGCCAAUUCUAGAUCAUGCGUCGGGUAGUUGCUAGUGCCGCCAAAUCUUUAAAGCAUGAACAACUGCGGCCAAUUCCAGAUCAUGCGUCGGGUAGUUGCCUUCAUGAGGACGCAACUGCCGUGAAGCAUAAGAAACCACUUUGCCAUCCUGCAUCAACACACAUCCUAGCCCCUGGCGAGAUGCAUCACAAUAGACCUGGAAAUCUUUCGUCUGAUCAGGCUGGAUUAAGACUGGUGCAGACACCAACCGUCGUUUGAGUUCUUCAAAACUCCUAUUGCAUUCAGCAGACCAGAUAAACUUUUCUUCCUUCUUCAAUAGCUGUGUCAUUGGCUUAGCAAUUUUAGAGAAGUUCUCAAUGAACCGGCGGUAAUAGCCCGCAAGUCCUAAGAAACUCCGAACCUGAGUGACUGUCCUUGGUGGGGUCCAUUUGGUAACUGACUCCACAUUUGCUGGAUCCACAGCUACUCCUUGAGCAUUCACGAUGUGACCGAGAAACUGAACUUCCUUAAGCCAGAAGUCGCACUUGCUGAACUUGGCAUAUAGCUGGUGCUCUUUUAACUUUUCAAGUACCAGCCGAAGAUGCUGCUCAUGUUCUUCCUCGGACUUGGAGUAGAUAAGUAUGUCAUCGAUGAAAACCACGACAAACUUGUCUAGAAAUUCCAUAAACACCUUGUUCAUCAAAUUCAUGAAGAAGGCAGGUGUAUUAGUGAGUCCGAAAGACAUAACUGUGCAUUCGAACAACCCGUACCGAGUGAUGAAUGCUGUCUUUGGAAUAUCCUCUUCGCGGAUCCUCAACUGGUGAUAGCCUGAUCGCAGGUCUAUCUUAGAGAACACAGUAGCUCCUUUCAACUGAUCAAACAGAUCAUCAAUCCUUGGCAAAGGAUACUUGUUCUUGAUGGUGACCUUAUUGAGUGCGCGGUAGUCAACGCACAUCCUCUUGGUUUUGUCUUUCUUCUCCACAAAGAUAACCGGAGCACCCCAAGGCGACGUGCUCGGGCGGAUGUAUCCCUUCUGUAACUGUUCAUCGACUUGCUUCUUGACUUCCGCCAACUCGUUGGCUCCCAUUCUGUAAGGCCUCUUGUGGAUCGGUGCAGUUCCAGGUACCAAGUCAAUCCGGAACUCGAUAUCCCUCUUUGGUGGCAUUGUUGUCAGAUCGUCCGGAAAAACCUCUGGAUACUCUCUGACUAUGGGAAUAUCCUCUAGCUUCUUAGUGGUUUUCUCCACUGCUACCUCUUGUUCUUCACCAGCAGCCUGGUUUAAACUGAUCCCUGGCUUCUGCGGCACUAGAGACUGGAAGGUUACCACCUCUCCUUUUGCAUUGGUCAACUUGAUGGUGCGGCUGGCGCAAUCAAUCACUCCUCUGUGCCUUGUCAACCAAUCCAUUCCAAGUAUGACAUCUAGGUCCUUGGAUUCGAGAAGAAUGAGGUGGGCUGGAAAAAUCAACCCUUGAAUUUCAACUGUCACAGAUGGGCAGUAGUGAGUUGUGGUCAUGCCACCUCCAGGAGUAUGAACUCGCAUUGGUAUCUUAAGCUUCACUAAAGAUAACCCAUGUGCACCAGCAAAACGCUUGGAAAUGAAGGAAUGGGUUGCACCAGAAUCAAACAAUAUUACUGCCGGUGUCGAGUUGACGGGGAAUGUGCCCAAUAUAACCUCUGGUGCUGACUGCACCUCCUCUGCAGAUGCAUGAUUAACACGGGCCUGAACGAACUUGGGUCCAGCACGUCUUGGCUUCGGGCACUUUCCAACCGUGUGUCCGGGUUUGUUACAAUUGAAGCAGAGUUCGGGUUUUUCUCCCAACCUCUUGGGCUGUUCUGGCAAAGGUGGCUGAACUGAUUGGGCUGGAAUCUUUAGUGAACUCGGAGUAGGGUUGAGGCUGUGCUACUCACUGUUGUUGUGACUGCCACUAUGGUGGUUCUUGUUGAAGCUACCCGGGUGGUAGGGACGGUGCUGUCGGAUAAUCAUGGUGGAAGGUCCACCCUGAUAUCCCAUUGUGAAACGAGGCUUCUAACACUUCCCCUGGGGAGUCCUGAACUAGGCUGCCUUCCUCUUACGGUUCAUUUUGUUAGACUGCUCCUCUUGACGAAUAGCCUUGUCCACAAGCUUCUCAAAGUCCUCAUAGUCUCUAGAGAUCAACUGGUUGGUCAAUUCAUCAUCAAGACCAGACAUAAACUUCUCCUGCUUCUCGGCAUCGGUACGCACGUCCUCAGGGGCGUAGCGCGCGAGGCGGUUGAACUCAUGCAAAUACUCUAUAACUGUUCUGGUUCCUUGUUGCAGGGAAUGGAACUCUCUCUUCUUUUGCGCCACAACUCCCUCGGGAACCUGGGCUUUAUUGAAACUAUGACAAAACUCUGUCCAAGUAACCUCUGCCCCAGCUGGACGGGUCACCAUGUAGUUGUCCCACCAAACAGAAGCGGGGCCUUGCAGCUGGUAUGUAGCAAAAGCAACCUUCUCUUGCUCGUUGCAUUGCAAAAGAUUCAGCUUCUUCUCAAUGGCAUGAAGCCAGUCGUGGGCCUCGAUUGGGUUGGUGGUGCUUGAGAAGGUGGGCGGCUUGACACGAAGAAAUUCUAACAGUUUGGACUGAGGAGGUGGAGGACCAAACUGCAGGUUCUGCUGCUGCUGCUGUGCUUGCUGCUGCACCUGCUGCAACACCUGAUGGUACUGUUGCUGCAUCUGUUGCAUCAUCAUUGUCAUUAUCUGAGUCUGAUUGUUCAACACCUGAGCAAUUGUUGGGUUCUCAGGCGAUGGGGACGGACUGUUGUCAGAUGCACUGUUGGCACGUGCUCCAUUGAUCGGCUCUUCGCUGCCACUGGCAUUGUUGGAGUCCCGUUAACCAUUCCUUGUCUCCAUCUGAAGGGGAUAGGGAGAAAUAUGAGAAAAGGAAGAAAAACAGGGGGCUUAGAAACUAAUCUUGCUUAUGAAUUUAAGUGUAAUUAUCUUAAUCUUGAUUAAAACACUGAAAAAGAGGCACGCAACUCCUAAUUGAGGCAGUCAUACCACUGACACAUGAUAUCGACCGCCGACUAACCCACAAGCAACAAACCUAAACUGAGCUAAUUUUAAAACCCCCAAAUAGAUUUUUUUUUCUAAAACCCUACACUGAGCUAAUUUUAAAAAUCCGAUCCGAAUGAACGACCAAGAUUUUUCCCACAAACCAAAGAGGCAAAACCCCAAAUUUUCCUGAAACAAAUCCAAGUGCAAAAGAGCAUAUGCAUAUGAAAAAAAAGGGUUCAGAGGGCUCUUAGGUUUCCAGUUGGCUUGUCCUACGGUCAAGGUCGGCUCUGAUACCAACUUGUCACACCCAGAAAUUCUCGAACCAGAAUUUCUAAGCUGAUUGUGCAUUAAAUCCCUGUCCAGGACCAGCCAGGGUACACAAACGACAUUUGUUGACAUACAGACCCACGUCUUACAAAAAUAUAAAAGAUUACAAAUGCAGCGAGAAAGAUAAAAGCGAGCUAAACCGGGAAGCUUGACUUCAGCAGCGGGCGACCCCACUCCACAGGCAAACCUUGACGGCAGCGACGAAACCAACCUCUCUGAGGCGGCUCCAUCUGAGAAGAACUUCAACUCUGGUGUGGGGGAAAAGAGAGCAAGACUGAGUACUACCCACUGUACUCAGCAAGUCAUACCGGAAAAGGAGGUAUGAUGCAGGAUAUAACCAAAGGAAGCUAGGUGUUCUUUUGCAAAAAGCAGGCAUUUCAAACCAGUAGUUGAAAGCAGUAAAACAGCUGUAGUAAUUAAUCAAUUUUAACCAAUCACUGUCCAACGCUACACCACGUUGCAACAAGCCCAACCAACCACCUGAACUACACCAGUUCAUUACGCUAAACUAGGGGUGAGACUAAUCACGGUAAAUCUGGUUGAUCACCCAUAACCGCGGGCACGGCUAUUCGAAUAGUUUUACUCUCGCCAGAGGUGUACAACUGUACCCACAAGACACGAUUCCACACAUGUCGCCAUGCCCCGAAGUAUCACCAUGAUACUGCAAAGGGGGAAAUCGUGACAAGAUCCUCCACCUAACCCUCCCCUAACCAUCCACACCACGCUAAGGUUUCACCCCCACCCCUCAAAAGGCAGUGGGCGGUCCCCUCUUGCGCCGCGGUGAAUCCGGCAGCUGGACAACCGAACACCUCGGCCGACCCAACUCCAUCACGCCCACCCUCACCACCGGUGCCUAGGAAAGGGUCGAGCUAUACUUCAGAUCAAGCAGUUACCCACUCCCGCUUGUGGUCAGCACGGUAAGUCUCCCAGGGUUUCCCGUGAACCGGUCCUUAACUGCCAUGGGUGCGACCAGCAAAACCAUGCACUCACAGCCCGCCAUUCAGAAUAUUUUAAUUAACUGACACCCUUGCGGUGGCGCCAAUCUAAAGCUAUGCCAAUAGUCAGAGUCUAUGUAAUAAUGUGAUCCCCAUUUGUGUACUAGUUGAACUAAGCAUGGCUAAGCAUUUCCUAAGCCAACAUCUAGUCAUUUUGAUACCCAAGUUAUCAAUGGCAUAAGGUAACCAAUAUGUGGCUGAGGAAUAGGACCCAUCCCACAUUACAUUGUAAAAGAAUGCAACAUUUAAUAGAAAUGCGGGAUAUUUGUAAAUUGGGUACAAUAUGAUCAAACGUAUUGCAUGACUUGCCUUGCUCUCGAACUGAUGAGACCUCAGCAACGUCUUCGAGAAACCGCGGAUCGACGAAACGGCCGAAACCUACGCGACAAACAAAGCACACAAGCAAAACAUGCUAUAAGACUACUGAAACAUGAAACAAAACCAUUUUUAGUGGAUUCUUUGCAUUUUUCUUGAUUUACUGAGACUUGAAUGGACUUAAACGGAGCUCGGAUGAAUUACUUAAGAAUUUUAAAAGAUAAACUGUGUUUUUACUAAUAAAGAAAAAGCCUUAAUUAUUUUAUUGCGCAAUAAAGCCCAGGGCUGACGUCAGCGAAAGGGGGGGCACCGGCACGUGGGCCCCACGGGUCAGCGGCUCCAAAGGGAGGGAGGUGGCGCCUGGCAGGUGGGCCCCACCAGGCGGUGGCUCAAAGGGGAGGCGAGGGAGGCGCCGGCCAGGCUCAGCUUGGCCUCAAGGCCGACCGGCCGACCAAGGCGAGGCGGCGGCGAGGCACGGCCACCGACGGCGGUGACCGGCGGUGCGGGAAGCGGCUGCGACGGCCGAAAGGCGGCGGCGCAUGGCCGGAGCAGCGGCGUGGCCGGCGCUCGCGGGAAGGUGAGGAAAGGAGGGGGAGGAAGGACUCACCGGCGACACGGCGGCCGGAGCGGAAGACAAAGGCGGCGACGACGACCCGACAAGAGGAGGGGCGGACGAGCGGCGGCGACACUUAGAGGAGGGGAGGAGAGGAGUUAGGGAUGGAUAAGGCGACCACGACGACCAAAGUGGCUGGCCGGAGACGGAGGGGAAUGGAUAGCUCACCGGCUCGCGAGGGAGAUGGGGUUCCGGUGGGGUUCCGGCGACGCGAGGCGGUGGCCGAGAUGGCCCACACGGCGGCGGAGCUAGCGGCGGCGGCGGCUUGGCACAGCGGCGGCCCUAGUGGCGACGGCACGUGGCAGGAGAUGGGCGGCGGGGGCGGAGCUCGGCGAGCGCGGCGCGACGGCGGUAGAGGGCGUGGGAGAGGACGGUGAAUGGGGGAAAUGAGAGAGAGAGCUCGAGUGAGGGUUUUUAUGGGCGAGGGAGGGGCGGAAACGGCCGGGGAUGGCCCCUAUUUGGCCGGCGACGUGGAGAGGUGGAGGAGAGAGAGAGGGUGUUGGGAGAUUUCAAAUCCCCCACCACUUGCGGGCGCGCGCGCGCGCGGGAGAUGCGGGGGAGAGGGCGGCGACGUGGGCGCGAGGUGCGGGCGCGGAGUGGAGGCGCGACGUGGAGCGGAGAAGGCGGCAGCGCGGGCGGUUGGAGCUCCGGCUCCAACGACCGGAGGUAGGGGACGACCGACAGGUGGGCCCCACCUGUCGGUGCCCGAAAGAGAAAGGGAGGGAGGGAGGACUUCGGGGAGUGGAAAGGAGGAGCGGGCCGGCCCAGGAAAGGGGUGCCGAGCGCGGGGAGAGAGAUGGGCCGAUGGCCCAUCUAGAGAAAAAGGAAGGAAAAGAAAAAGAAAAAGAGGAGAAGGAUUUUCCUAGGAUUAAAUAUUGCACUUUGGUGAUUUUUAAUUGGUUAAAAUUAUUUCCAAGGCUCUGAAAAUUCCACUAAAAAUCUUGUUAAUGCAUUGGAGCAUGGGGAACUCAAGAAAAAUUCCACCACGCUAUUUCCGAUUAUUAAUUGCAUUUAUUAAUUAUGGAGUUAGCUCUAGGUUAAUUAAGAUAAUUUCUUCGGGCAAUUUAUUUAACCAAUUUUUAAAGCAAGAAAAAGGGGAAACUUCUGGGCGUGACAGCGAGGAGGUCGCUCGAACGAAGACCAAGACCACGAUAAUCGUCACAACUGCCGCGACCGCGACGAUCGCGAACAGCGGACACCAGACGAUGCUGGUCGAGGGCGUCAACAUGACGGUGAUGAUAAUGGGGAUCGGCGCUAGGACAACAAUGGUGGAUGACGACAGAAUUCUCGAGAACCUAAACGUCGCCCUCGGAAUCGCACACCGGAGCCGAGUGAACCACCGUCAUCAUCGUCAUCAUCUUCAUCUUCGUCAUCCGAUAGACAUCCACGGAGGACACACAAUCGCCGACAACCCACCGCCCCCUGCACUGGGUGUAGAGCUUUCAACCGUUCUCUACGUGAUGUCCGAUGGCCCGAGAGAUUCCGACCCGGAGCAAUAGAGAAGUACGAUGGGAGUACUGACCCUGAAGAAUUCCUCCAGGUCUACUCCACGGUACUAUACGCUGCUGGGGCAGACGACAACGCGUUAGCAAACUAUUUGCCAACGGCGUUGAAAGGUUCUGCGCGUUCGUGGCUGAUGCACCUCCCACCCUACUCGAUCUCUUCAUGGGCAGAUUUGUGGUAGCAAUUCGUCGCUAACUUCCAGGGAACUUACAAGCGCCACGCGAUCGAAGACGAUUUACACGUGUUGUUCGGCGCUUUAAUGAGUGCAGAAAUACGAUCCCCGAUAUCACCGAUGCUUCUGUGAUUCGUGCUUUCAAAACCGGUGUCAGAGAUCGCUAUACUACCCAGGAGUUGGCAACAAGGCGAAUCACAACGACUCGAAGUUUGUUUGAGGUUGUCGAUCGAUGCGCCCAUGCAGACGACGCAGUGAGACGCAAGAACGACGAGUCAAAGGCGGGAGGAGAGAAGAAGCCAGCCAAGGACACACCCGAAUCAAGCAAGAAGAAAAGCGGCAAGAGUGGGAAGAGGAAAGCUCAAGCGGAAGUCCUCGUGUCUGAAUACAAGCGCCCGCCCAAACACCCAGACCCACAAGGCAGUGAUACGAAGAGAAUAUGGUGCCCCAUACACAAGUCGGACAAACAUUCUCUGGAGGAGUGCCUCAUCUUCAAAAAGUCGUUGGCAAAGCAGCUGGCUUUGGAGAAGGGCAAGCGAGUACGUGUAGUUGAGAAGGCCACUGAGGCAACCACUCAGGACUCGGACUCGGCGUAUCCAGAUUCCGAUCUUCAUGUCUCGCACAUCUUCGGAGGUUCCACAGCGUACUCUUCAAAGCGAGAAUACAAAAAAGUGGAACGUGAGGUUUGUUCGACAUGGCAGGGGGUUGCACCCAAGAUGAAGUGGUCUGAACAGAACAUCGAGUUCUCAGAUGAGAACCACCCCAAAACUGCUAUUAUCCCAGGACGAUAUCCGAUCGUGGUUGAACCCACUAUUCGGAAUAUCAAGGUAGCGCGAGUCUUCGUCGAUGGCGGUAGCUCCAUCAACCUUCUCUUUGCCAGCACCUUGGACGCAAUGGGCAUUCCACGAAACGAGUUGACGCCUACCGAUCAACCCUUCCAUGGAAUCACUCCUUAGUCUUCGUCCAAGCCACUGGGCUAGAUCACGCUUCCUGUGUCUUUCGGCCAAGCGAGCAACUUUCGAGCAGAGAAGAUAACAUUCGAUGUUGCUGAGUUUGAUACAGCAUACAACGCCAUCAUCGGAAGAACUGCACUCGCGAAGUUCAUGGCCGCAUCUCACUACGCGUAUCAGGUACUCAAGAUGCCCGAGCCGAAGGGAACAAUCUCUAUUCAAGGAAACACAAAGCUGGCGGUCCAAUGCGACAAGCAGAGCCUCGACAUGGUCGAGCACACGCCCAGCCCACCCGCCACAGCCGAGCCACCCAAGAAAAUGAUCAAAACGACUAAGAUGCCAAAACCAGACGACGCAAUUAAAAUCGUUCCACUCUCCAGUGCCAACCCCGACAAGACAGUCAAGAUCGGGGCAUCACUGAACGAGAAAUAGGAACUCGCGCUCAUCACCUUCCUCCGCGAUAAUGCGGACGUAUUCGCUUGGCAACUGUCCGACAUGCCAGGGGUCCCUAGGGAGGUGAUUGAGUACAAACUCAUGGUGCGACCCGUUGCCAAGCCAGUAAAGCAAAAGCUGCGGAGAUUUGCACCAGAUCAGAAACAGGCCAUACGAGAAGAGCUCGAUAAACUUCUCAAAGCUGGUUUCAUCAGAGAAGUACUCCAUCCAGAGUGGCUAGCCAACCCAGUCAUGGUGCGGAAGGCCAACGGGAAGUGGAGGAUGUGCGUCGACUUCACCGACCUCAACAAGGCGUGCCCCAAGGAUCACUUCCCUCUCCCUCGAAUAGACCAACUAGUGGACUCAACAGCUGGUUGUGAGCUGUUAAGCUUCCUUGACGCUUACUCCGGCUACCACCAAAUAAGCAUGGCAAAAGAGGACGAGGAAAAGACAACAUUCAUCACAUCGUUCGGUGUAUUCUGCUACGUAAAAAUGCCGUUUGGACUGAUAACCGCAGGAAAUAUUUUCCAGCGUACGGUCCAAGGGGCACUUAGCGAUCAACUGGGUAACAAUGUUGAGGCCUACGUCGAUGACAUUGUUGUCAAAACCAAGACAUGCGACUCAUUGAUUGACGAUCUACGGGAAACCUUCGACAACCUCAGACAAUAUCGCCUCAUGCUCAAUCCUGAGAAGUGCACGUUCGGGGUACCGUCGGGUAAACUGCUUGGGUUCCUUGUCUCUGGCAGAGGAAUAGAAGCGAACCCCGAGAAGAUCAAGGCAAUCGAGAACAUGAAGUCGCCCACAAGACUCAAGGAGGUACUGAAGCUAACCGGAUGCAUGGCGGCACUAAGUAGGUUCGUCGUUAGGAUGGGAGAACAAGGACAGCAUUUCUUCGCACUGCUAAAAAGCAGGACAAAUUUGUAUGGACACAAGAAGCCUAAGAAGCGUUCAUCGCACUCAAGUGCUACCUAUCAAAUCCCCCUGUACUUGUUGCUCCCCAACCUAAUGAAGAGUUAUUCCUCUAUAUUACCGCCACACCCUACUCUGUGAGUACUGUCAUUGUUGUCGAAAGAGAAAAUGUACAGAGACCAGUCUAUUACGUCAGCAAAGCUCUCCACGACGCGAAGACAAGGUACGCACAGAUCCAAAAACUGCUCUACGCAGUAAUCAUGACGUCAAGAAAGCUACACCACCACUUCCAAGCCCACAGGGUCACAGUUGUCUCCGCCUUCCCUCUUGGCGAAGUCAUGAGAAACAAAGACGUUAUCGGCCGCAUUGCGAAAUGGGUAGUCGAGCUAAGCCAGUUUGACGUCCACUUUGUACCACGAACAGCCAUCAAGUCCGAGGUUCUCGCCGAUGUCAUAGCCGAUUGGACUAUGCCUAAUAAUAGGUUAGACAGUCAAACCGACAAUGAAACAUGGACAAUGGCGUUCGAUGGCGCGCUCAAUAGCCAAGGAGCAGGUGUGGGGUUCAUCUUGACAUCACCUUCGGGAGAUCAAUUGAAACAUACAAUUCACCUUAACUUCAGAGCGACCAACAACACCCCAUGUGCGCAAAUAAGAAAGUGAUGGUUUUCUCCCAAUCCAUAUCUCAUAUGGUGUUUUGUUCUUAUUUCUGUUAGGAACUCUGUUUAACACAUGAUUCGUGGUCAACAAUGCCUCCCCCCACCAUGCCUUAGGUUGUCCCGCGGUGUCCAACAUGGCAUUCACCAAGUCAGUCAGUGUGCGGUUCUUCCUUUCAGCAAUCCCAUUAGACUCGGGAGAAUAGGGAGGAGUCCUCUCAUGUAUGAUGUCAUGUUCGUCACAGAAUAAGUCAAACUCGUUCGAGAAAAACUCUCCACCACGAUCAGACCUAAGCCUUUUUAUCUUUCUGUCAAGUUGAUUUUCAACUUCUGCCUUAUAAAUUUUAAAAUAGUCUAGAGCCUCGUCUUUCGUUUUCAACAAGUACACAUAGCAAAAUCUAGUAGCAUCAUCAAUUAACGUCAUGAAAUAUUGUUUUCCACCCUUCGUCAACACCUCAUUCAUUUCACAAAGAUCUGAAUGUAGGAGUUCUAGUGGUGCCAAGUUUCUCUCCUCGGCAGCCUUGUGAGGCUUGCGAGGUUGCUUCGAUUGCACACAACUAUGGCACUUAGAACCUUUGACAAUGGAAAACUUAGAAAUUAAACACAUGCUGGAAAGCCGAGACAUCAAGCCAAAAUUAAUAUGACAUAAACGUGAGUGCCAAACAUUAGCCUCAUCAUCCACACUUCCACAAAUAUUGUUCACAGACUUAUUGCAGAAAUCAGAAAGGGAAAAGCGGAACAGGCCUCCGCACUCAUAACCUUUACUAAUAAAAUAUCCAUGUUUAGACACGACUACUUUAUUAGACUCAAAAACCAACUUAAAUCCAUCUCUAGUUAGACGGGAGCCACUAACAAGAUUCCUGUUGAUAGAAGGGACAUGCUGCACGUUCCUCAGCUGCACGAUCUUUCCCGAAGUAAACUUCACAUCUACCGUGCCAACACCAUGAACAGAAGCAUGUGACCCAUUCGCCAUUAGGAAGGUGGAACCCCGUGCGACCUGAUAAGAAGAAAACAAUGAGAUGUCAGCACAAACAAGUACAUUGGCCCCAGUAUCAACCCACCAAUUAGUAGACUGAUUAACUGAAAAAACAGUAGGUAAAUUACCAUACCCGCUUCCAUCUCCAGUGUUGCCAAUGGUCACAUUAGCAGACUUAGAAGUCUGCCCUGCAGGUGCCUUCAUCCCCUUGCGCUGUGGAUACUUCCUAGCCAGAUGACCAGGUUGCCCACACACAAAGCAAAUCCUCUCAUCCUGGUUAGGAUUGUUGUUGUUCUUCUUCUGCCUCUUGAAGUUGGUGGUCUGUUGAGCUUUAUAUUUCCCCUUGCUCUUGUUCUAGGCCUUGUGCACAACAUUGGCACUGGACUGCCCACCAUCAUCCUUAGACGCGGCGUCUUUUUCCCGAGCUUUCUCCUCAACAUCAAGAGAUGCUAUCAACCCCUCAAUGGAGUAUUCCUGUCUCUUGUGUUUGAAUGCAGUACCGAAACUUCUCCAUGAUGGAGGUAGUUUCGCAAUAAUGCACCCGGCCACAAAUUUGUCGGGUAAGACACACUUAAGGAGUUCGAGUUCCUUAGCUAUGGUUUGUAUCUCAUGAGCCUGUUCGACUACAAAACGGUUGUCAGCCAUCUUGUAGUCAUGAAACUGCAAGCUCAUGUUUCUACGAUCUCAAUUUGUAUUUACUUGAAUGAUGCUAUAAAUCUCCAUCAAAAUGAGUAAUUUCAUAAUUGAAUAAAAACGAGGAGCCGAAGAUUUUAGGGGGCGGGAGAAAAGGUCAAGUCUAAGCGACAUAUGGCGUAGCGUUGGAGACUAUGUGCUAUAAUGCUGAACUAAGGACAUUCCGCCUUAUCUAUAGAAGCAGUCAACUGAGUUCUGAACGUAAAUAAAUUCUGAUUUGAUCACUCGAUCCAUGGCACCCAGCAUCUAGCACUACACGUAGAUCGGAAAAGACGCAGUUUUCUUUUUCUCAUCACUUCAAGGGGCUACUCCAUGAUAUACAGAUCAUUGCUAGCAUCAGUAGCACCGAAUUUAGUAUUCAGUGCAUCCCACAACUCCUUAGCGUCGGUCAUAUGCAUAUAUGUCACGCCCGAAAUUUCUAUCCAAAAUUCCAAACGCUUACAUGUGUGUGAACCCUCGUCCAGUAAUCAGCCGAGGCACACAAUAACAAAUUGAUAAUAGAGUACAAUUAUUACUCUAAUUAAUAAGCGAAUAAAAAGUCAUUACAUAGGUAGAUAGUUCCUCUCAAUCAAUAAAGAUCUAAUGUCACGACCGGAAAUAACCCAACGGGCGUUCCUUACGUGCGUGCAUUAAUCCUUGUCCCAGGAGGCAAGGUACACCAAAAGUUGAUACAAUUCAGAGUUUAACAAGCGGAAGCGUAAAUAGCUAACUUAUUACAUGGGCAGCGAAGGCCCAGCACACACAGAGACAAACGAGAAACAACGGAAGACUAGGGCGACGACCACAGGCGCUUGACGGCAGGCACGAGCUAGACACCAAAACCUUCAUCUUCAAGGGGCUCCUCUUCUGGGGUUGGGAAAAAUUGAGCAAGACUGAGUACAACCACCGUACUCAACAAGACACACCCACAAGUGCAGAAUAAAUGCAAGGGAGUACAAAGGAGUCAUACUAUAAAGGGUUAGGGUUUGCAGUAAACAGCAUUUAAAGGUACUUAGUUGCUCAAAGCUAUUUUGUAAACACGAUUCUAGAACUAUACCAUAUUAUUUAUCAAGGCCGUGAACCCACACGAACCUGCCUUAACCCAAGGCCUACGAUGAUUCAGACCGAACUGGCAACCCGACCCUGGGUCCCAGCUCGUCCCAAGCCAACCUAGGCCAACCAUUCCACAUUUUAGUUGAUAAGCAGGUUUUAAGAAUUAAAACACUAACUUGGGUACAUUGCUCGGCUUGCACAUAACCGAGGGCGCGGCUAUUCGAAUAGAUUAUACUCUGAUCAGAGGUGUACAUCUUUACCCACAAGACACAUCUUCCUCACGUGCAACCACGUGCCACAUACCACCACGGUAUACAGACGGAAGACGUGACAUAGUUUCCAACCCAUCCUAGCCAUAGACAAGAGUACCGACCCAAUCCCACCUACGGCCGGAACCCCCGGGACAGGCAGGCAGAACUGAGCCCCUAGCAGCAUGUCACGCCCUAAAAAUUGACUAAAUUAAAAAUGCAUAUUUUAAAUCAUUUCUUAGAAAUUAUUUUAAAAGCCUACAAGCUAAACCCUAAUUUUCUAGGAAAAUUUUUAACAUAAAAAUGAGCUAGAUAAAAUUUUAUUAAAUACUAUGCUUGCUCCUCUAUUUUCUAGAAUUUUCUGGGAAUUAUUUGAGUAAGGGAAGUAUUUUUAAUAAUUGAAACAACAUUUCACAAAUUGUUUUAUUUUAAAAAGUUCAAAAAAAUCCCCCUCCUUGGUCGUUGGGCCGAAUUCGGCCCAACAUCUCCCUCCUCUCCCGCGGCCGAACCGGCCCAAGCCGGCCCAGCUGCCGCCGCCGCCCGCUCCCCUCUAUCGUGGAGGCCGACAGGUGGGGCCCACCUGUCGGAUCCAUCCCCUACCUCCGGCCGAGCCGCCCGAGCCGCCGCUUUGCCGCCGCCUUUCUCCUCUCAAAUCCGCCUCAAUCCGACUCCGAUUCCUCCGGGUUUUUGAGGGGUUUUGUUCCUCUCGUUCUCCUCUUCCUUUUCCCCCAAGAAUCGGAGCGAAUCGUUGAGGAUUUCAUCCGAAUCGAGUUCGUUUUGAUUUUAUCCCUAAAACCGAGUUUGGAUUUUUCCCGAGUCGAUUCCUCUCGUUUGGAGUUCGAUCUCUUCAAUCCAAUGCUUUAUAAAGCUUCCCCUCGUCGUCCUCUUCCAUUUGCCCCCUCUCUCGUCCUCUCCCGUGCACCGUAGCACCGCCGCCACGUGCAUUUAGCCGCCGCCGCCGCCGGCCAUCUUUCGGCCGUGUCGCGCCGCCGCGUCCGCCGUCUCCGCCGCUUGCCGUUGUCGCCGUUAGGUGCGCACGGAGGUGAGGAAGCUCGGCCGCCCGUCCUCCUUCGCCGCCGACCACCGGAGCUCCGCCACCGCCUUCCUCCUCGUCGCCGGCCAUCACCGUUCGUCGAUAGACGUUGUGGUGAGUACCAUCGGGUUCGUCUCGAUGUUCACUACAACAAAACCAUUGUUUUAAGACGUUUCACUUAAGUCAUUCUAUAAGUCGUCUCUUUUUUAUAAGUGAAAUUAAAAUAGGGACGAUGUUUGAGACGCUUUAUUAGUUGAGGAUAUAGUUUAAGACGCUUUACAGGUUAGCACAAAAUUAAAUCGUUUAGAGAUGAAUAUUGAGACGUUUUUGGAACAUCUCAUGUGUAGAAAUGAGUUUUGAGACGUUUUUAUUAUAUCCGUGUCAUCGUUAUUAGAUAAUAUAUAAUUAUUUAUAUAGAGAAAGAAGAAAAUAAACACACUGAUCCUAAUCGUCAUCAUCAAAUACCAUUAUAAUAAUAUUAUAAUUAUUUGGACAAAAAAAUAAAUAUUUAAUAUUCAGUCUUAGAUUAAAAAAGAAGAGAACUGCUACAGAACGCAUGUUUGCAGAGUUGCAAUAUAAAAAAAACUAUCUAUUUACCUUCAAGAUUGUCACGUUAAUGACUUGGUUAGUGCAUGAACUUUGUAACCUGCAGGUGCUGUGUUCGAGCCUAGAUGAAAGCAUUAAUAUCAAAUAUAUUAAGAUGUGCGUGCCUAUAUAAAAGCGUCUCUAUAUUUUUGUAGAGAUGCAAUUUACACGUCUCUAGCAACGUCUUAAAUAAUAUAGGUACGCUUUAAAAAGCGUCUCCAUAAUUUUAAGACGGUGCAAACAGAGACGAUCCUACGACGCUUUAUAAAAGCGUCUCAGUUAUCUGUGGGAGACGAAAUAAAACGUCUCUAUCUUACAAAUAAGAUGUCUCCUUUGGGUUGUUUUGUGGGUUGUUUUGUUGUAGUGGUUCUCUACGCGUAGGUGUCCUCCAAUCACCCGGUCGACCGCCCUAGCUCCGGCGAGCUCGCAAACCCUAACCGGCCGCCAUUGCUGACGUCAGCAUGACGUCAUCAUCUCCUUUCCCUUUUCUUUUUCUCGAUUUUCUAAUAGAUUAAAACUUCAGAAAAUCAUAACUAAAUAACCGUAGAUCUGUUUCAGGUGGUUCAAGUUUCUAAAUUCUUCUAAAAUCAAGAUCUACAUGUUAAAAAUAUCCACAUGUACUGUUUAUGCUUGUUUUUGUACUGUUUUGUUGAUUUUUGUUUAAUUGCUUUAGUUUCCGACGUUCCGGAGGAAAGCGUUUCUGUUGAGGAAGGUUCCGAAGCGUUUGUGGAAGCCCAAGGCAAGUCAGACAGAUCCCAAACAACCCUUUGAGCAUGUUGAUCCCGUUUAAAGCUAUUAUUUUAUUUCAACUAUGCAUUGUUUUCGAAUGUCAUCGGGUGGUGAACCUUUCCCAAUUAAUUAAUGGCCGAAGAUGACUUUAUUUUCCUAUGGGUUAUAAUUUGAUUAGCAUGAACCUUAUAUAUUGGAUUGGUUCAGCUAAAUGCUAUAUGUAUGUUUGCUUAGCCAUGCUUAGAAACAUUAGUUAACUAAAGGGGUUAAAUAUAAAUUAUAUUACAAAAUUAUUAUUAUUAAUUAGGGUUAUAUUCAAUGGUAGCUCACGAUGGUAAAUCGUGUGAUGUUAAUUAAUUGAUAAUUAAAACCUGGAUAAGGUGGGUUGUGAGCAUAUGGUUUUGAUGGUUGUGCUCAUGACAAUUAAGGACCGGUUCGCGAGCUACUGUUGUGAAACAUUUAUCGUGCCAACCACAAGCCAGCAUGGGCAACGGCUUUAUCUUUUGUAUAGCAUGGUUCAUUAUAGUGCGCCCGACUGAGAAGUGGCGAGAAGUCCAUGGGGGUCGCUGGGGAGUCCAUGCCUUGUUUUAAAGGGGGUGAUUAUGAUCCAGGAAAGGUGCACUGUAAUGGGUUAUGUUGUGCAAGGGGUAUUGUCACGACUCCUUUCCGAGGUACCGUGGUGGUAUUGAGGCACAUGGUGACAUGAUGUGGGGUUGUGUCUUGUGGGUACAGUGGUACACCUCUGAUCAGAGUUUAAACUAUUCGAAUAGCCGUACCCACGGUUAUGGGUGAGUUGAGCAAUGUUUUUCGUGAUUAGUCUCACACUACUCAUUAAUGGUAAUAAUGUGGUAAUUAAUUUAAUUCCUGGUUUGGAAUGGACAAUUCCUGGUUUGGAGGUUCAAUUUGUUCAACUGGGGUUGGGUUGUUCAAAUGUGGUUGGGCCUAUGCAACAUGGGUGUGUUGUAUGGUGUUUAUUUAAUAUUGAUUAAUUAUUCAACUGUUUUACUAUUCUCUUAAAUGUUUAUUAAAUGCUGUUUUCUGCAAAUGAGCUAUAUUAUGCCAUCCUUUGUUAUCCUGUGCACUUGCAUAUUUGCUGUGUGGCUUGUUGAGUAUGUCAUAUGCUCAUUCUUGCAAUAUUCAUUCAUCAGAAGAGGAGUAUCUCAGUGAAGGUGAUGAUCUGGAGGAUUAGGCUUGUUCUCGGUUAAGAUGCCUGUGGAGUGGAGUCGUCAUAGCUGUUCCGUAGUUUGUUAUAGUUUUAUUUUUCCGCUGCGUAGAAUGUUUUAUAUUUUUGGGAGGAACUAUCUACCUCUGUAAUAUUUUAUUAUUUGCGAAUAUUAAAUAGUUAUUUAAUUGUACUCUAUUAUCAAUAUUGUCAUUGUGUGCCUCGGUUGAUUCCUGGACGAGGGUUUAACACACAUGUAAGCGUUUGGAAUUUUGGAUAGAAAUUCCGGGCGUGACAAGUUGGUAUCAGAGCCACCUUGACCUUAGGAUAAGCCAAAUGGUAAACCUUAAGUAGCCUUCAAAAUAUUUUGAAAAAAAAUAGAACUGCUCUUCUCUAUUCUCUUAUAAAUUAAUUAAGUUGGCAGCACAUGCAAGGUUAAGCACAAAAUUUAUUGAAAUUCA